CCAUGGCAACUUCUGCCAGCUCCCCAAGACUAGUCUUCAGGGGGAGGGGACUAGGGGUGAAAACCUGACCUCAGUAAGUUCCCGGCUCUCAGCUCCAGCACGUGGCUGGCUGGGUCCCCCGUUUACAGCCCCCACCACUCGCUCCUGGCUGCCCCCUGCUCCAGAGGAAGUGAAACAGGCUGUGCCCAGGCAGAAUCGCCUGGCUGCACCUGGCAUGAAGUCCCAAGCAGGCUGCCUGCACAGCCCUCUCGGCUGACCUCUGCACACCCUCCCCGGCUCUUUGCCAGGCCUUAUUCAUGCGCUGGCAGUGUUAGGACCGCUCGGGAGGGAGGCGGGCCCCGCAGUGGCUUCCAGGCCCAGAGCCAGGCCCCAGCCUGCACCCCAGGCUGCACUCGCGUAUCCAGGAACCACCUCCUUUUACAGCAGGAAGAGGGCAACCAGAGAGGGCGAGAGCGCCGCCCACGGUUACCCACAAGCUUCGGAACAAAGUUAGCAGCGUGAGGAGUCUGGGUUCGAAUCCUAGCACAGCUGGUCGGAUCGCUAGCAGUUAAAACUUGAGGCAAUAGGGUAAACCCAGCACUGCCCCCAUCUGGCUGCGUUUCAGGCUUGUGAUGGGAGUCGAGGUCUGUUCAAGGAUCCAGAAGACCAGGCUGGUUUGGUGAACCAUUUCAGACCCUGGGGGCCUCGCCCUAUUUUUGGACCUGCUCUUGAAGAAACACCUGUGAGGUCAGUGCCUCUUCCUACAUGAACUAGCCUGAGUCAAGUUCCUGGAUCUCACCCUCCUGAACCACUCCCCCACUCCCCACCACCAACAACUCUGAAGUGUGCAUUCCAGGAAACAUGGGGUCUCCGAGGCUUGUCAAGCCCUGGUGCUCCAGGUUUCUGCUGAGUGGUGGGAAGGAGCCUACAGCCAGCCUCCUGUGGAUUCUGUUCUAAAAGCCAGUGCUCCUUCACAUGGAACUCUGCUCAAUGUUAUGUGCCAGCCUGGAUGGGAGGGGAGUUUGGGAGAGAAUGGACACAUGUAUGUGUAGAGCUGAGUCCCUUCACUGUUCACCUGAAACCAUCACAACAUUGUUAAUUGGCUAUACCCCAAUACAAAAUAUUUUGGUGUUAAUAGCCAGUGAUUUAACUGAA